AGAGGGCAGUUUCGGGGUUGCUUAUAGAUCAUUUAAACAUAAUCGAUCAAUGAAACUAAAAUUUUUGGUGCACUGCAAAAGUUAGCAACCCCCCUAACCAACACUUGCUAUGCAUAGGGCAGUUUGGGGUGGCCAAUAGAUCAUUUAAACUUAAUCGAUCAUAGAAACAAAAACAUUUGGACCACUACAAAAGUUACAACCCCUGCAGUCGAGGACGGCUAUGCAUGUUAGUGUGAUAUUCCUACAAAAUUCCCUAAGUUUAAAUCAAGAAUGAAAUUUACUUUUAGAGAGCAGUUUCGGGGUUGCUUAUAGAUCAAUUAAACAUAAUCGAUUAAAGAAACUAAAAUUUUCGGUUUGCUGCAAAAGUUAUCAACCCCCCUAACCAACACUUGCCAUGCAUUGGGCAGUUCCGGGGUGGCCAAUAGAUCAUUUAAACUUAAUCGAUCAUAGAAACAAAAAUAUUCGGUGCGCUGCAAAAGUUACAACCCCUGCAGUCGAGGAUUGCUAUACGAAGGGCAGUUUCGGGGUUGCUUGUAGAUCAUUU